CACCAGACUCCUACGGGAGGCAGCAGUGGGGAAUAUUGCACAAUGGGGGAAACCCUGAUGCAGCGACGCCGCGUGAGCGAUGAAGUAUUUCGGUAUGUAAAGCUCUAUCAGCAGGGAAGAAGAUGACGGUACCUGACUAAGAAGCCCCGGCUAACUACGUGCCAGCAGCCGCGGUAAUACGUAGGGGGCAAGCGUUAUCCGGAUUUACUGGGUGUAAAGGGAGCGUAGACGGCGAUGCAAGCCAGAUGUGAAAGCCCGGGGCUCAACCCCGGGACUGCAUUUGGAACUGUGUGGCUGGAGUGUCGGAGAGGCAGGCGGAAUUCCUAGUGUAGCGGUGAAAUGCGUAGAUAUUAGGAGGAACACCAGUGGCGAAGGCGGCCUGCUGGACGAUGACUGACGUUGAGGCUCGAAAGCGUGGGGAGCAAACAGGAUUAGAUACCCCCGUAU
rnacentral:rRNA from 1 species